rnacentral:rRNA from 1 species
UCAAACAGUUUGAGCAAUAUCGACUAUGUCGAAUAAAAUUCUGGGUAGAAUUAUGAUAAUGACAUUGUCUGCCCAUGUGUCUUGACCAAAUUACGUGCCAGCAGUCGCGGUAAUACGUAGAAGACUAGUGUUAUUCAUCUUUAAUAGGUUUAAAGGGUACCUAGACGGUAAAUCAAGCCUACUCAGGGACUAAUUUACUAGAGUUACUUAUGAGGGGGUAUUAAAGUACUGCUGGUGUAGAGAUGAAAUUCUGUCAUACCUCUUUUCGUAUGAAAAAUAAUGGCACAGGUAUAGGCGAAAGCAUCCCCUUAUGUGAUAACUGACGUUGAAGGACGAAGGCUUUGUGUCGCGAACAGGAUUAGAUACCCCAGUAGUCAAAGCAGAAAAUGAUGAAUGUCAUAGAUUAGAUUUAAGAUUUUUUAUUCUAUAAAUGAAAGUGUAAGCAUUCCACCUCAAGAGUAAUUUGGCAACAUUGGAACUGAAAUCAUUAGACCGUUUCUGAAACCAGUAGUGAAGUAUGUUGUUUAAUUUGAUGUUCCGCAAAAAACCUUACCACAACUUGAAUAUUUAUAUAGCUUUUCUCUUUUUGAUCUUUUUUAUAUAUAGUUAAAUAGAUAAAGGAGGGAAAAGGAUAUAUUUACAAGCGUUGCACGGCUGUCUUUAGUUAAUGUCGCGAGACUAUGGUUAGUUCCAUUAAAUUAACGUAAACCCUUACUUUAUUUUUUAUAUAAAGUUGUUCCCCGCUAUAUUGGAUAUGAUAACAGGGACUAAGACAAGUCAUCAUGGCCUAAAUAUUGUG